AGCCUGCAUUUGCCCCAUAGGACGCACACACAUUUCCCCUUCAUUUUUGGAGGGGGGGGAGUGCAUCCUAUAGGGCGAAAAAUACGGUAUCUCAUGUGUGAAAUUAUUCUGUACCUUCUGCUGUGGCAUUAAAUAAUAUUUUCCUGCACUAUUCUAAAUAUUGAAUAUUUAAAAUUCCACUACCCAUCUGCUUUGCUGUCCAUGAUUCACCCUCUGAUAGAGCUCCUCUGUGUUAGAUUGAGUAUUUCUUCUAAGGUAUUUGUGAAAUCCCAUCAACCCAAAAUAGCCCUUGUGCUGCUUGGCCUUCAUGAAAUGAAUCAGGAAUUCAGCACCAAAUAACAGAUAGGAUCUUCUCUUUAGAGUUGUGGUUUAGCUCACUUUCUCACCUGAGAGUUUUUACCUGGCUGCAUCUGUUCAACCUACAGUGCUGUUUUCAACAAUAAAGAAAUGUGGAGACAUUUGGAAUUUGCAUCAAGGCAACUCUUUAAUAAUGUUUAUCUUUUAAUUAGCGUGCAUGAGCCCAUUGAUUUGCUAUGACAGAAAGAGUUAUUUAGAGCCAGUUCUCUUUUACAUCAAGUCUUGAUUCCUAGUUUGGUUAAGUAAUCCUUAGCAUUUUUUAAAAAAGAAUCCAAUAUAGCUAAGUGAGAUAAUCAGUUCUCUCCUUAAUACUUUCCUCACUACACCGCUUGCUCUCCCAUUUCAGAAGGCAGUAAACUAAUGCAAGUUCCAUAUGUGCUGAAUGACAGGCAUGCUUGACCAGGUUUGGCAAGCAGGCGGGGUGAACUGGUAAAAGCUGUUAAAGGAAGUAAUUUAUAGAAGAGUAUAAGUGCUGAGAGAUGCUGGCAAAUCAGGUGACAGGCAGGAGUGUAGAAAAUGCCCAUGUUUCCUUGUGGACAUUCCCAAGGGCUCAGUGACAAAUGACUGCACUAAGCUGUGCAGCCAGGAAGAAACUGCUACCCACACUGCAGAGACUAUUCAGUUGCCAGCCAGGUGCAUCCAUGCACAGUGCACAGUAGCCACAUGCUCUCCUUCAAUCAUUACAGCAGCUGGGAAAUGGGUGUUGGCUUUUUUACUUUGGCUAAAGUGUGGCAAGGUAGGAGUCAUGAUUUAUGCCUUAAGUGUUUGACACUUAAGUCUUUUGUUUUUAGGCUGCUUACCAUGCAAACAGCUACGGCCCCUGGCAAUAACUGAAAGGUGACCCUUGGCUCCAAGCUCUCUCAUUGGUUCUGUUCUGCUCCUUCUGCCACAUAUUUGACCAAUGGAAGAGUGUGGCUUGCAAUGAGAAGUGAGCAUAGAGGAGUUAAUAGCCAAUCUCUGUAUCAAAGUCAGUUCAGCUAAGUAGAAGCAACUCUCCCACAGCCCACCCCAACCAUCCCUAACAGUAGGUAAUCUGCCUGAGUUUCUACAGCCUGAAAUCCAGUUGUUGUGACCAGUCCAGUCAAGGAUUGUUGCAUAGUAUCAGAAGGUGCUGAGGAGAGAAAAUCUUAAUAGAAGCAUAUCUUCAAGAUGCCGUUCAUAUUAUUCCAUUUACUGUAUCUUUCACCAGAGCAAGUGAGCCUCUGUUUUUUGUAGCAUUAAAGUUGAUUCUAGAACCCCAGAAUGAUCCACAACUAGUUGCACUCAGAGCCAAACUGGGUGUCAGGAUUACAAAUCCAUAAGUUUAAACCUAGAUAUUCCACAGCCAAGAAAGUGGGGAAUUGGAAUGGUGGUCACUGUAGUGGCUCUUAGUUAUGUUGCAGAUUCUAAUAGAUGUUAUGGUUAGAGAUGGGAGAUUCACAAGAAGUAUGCUGAUUCCCAAGGGAAAUGGAACACCAGACGGUGGACAGGGAAGGAACAAUCUUGGAAGCAAAGUUGACAAAGGACAAACUUGCAUAUUCCCAAGCUUAAGUUUAGUCAAUAGUACUAGAGAGAUCCACAUUUGGAGUUGCUAAUUUUGAAUUUCAUUAAGUUGGAAAAAACAGUGAAGCAGAAACAUCAAGGUCUUACCCAAAUUUCAGUUUUUGACAUGUAAAUGGAAUGUAGAGGAAACACCUCAGGGAUACUCAAUUGACAAAUUAUCUGUGCAUUGUUUAAUAGGAAUGUCUAGGUGUCUAGUCUCAUGCUCAACCAACUCAUUCAAAAGGGAUUCUGUUGCAACUUGUCACAGAGCCCUACAAUUUAUAAUUAUUCUCCAUGUUAAAAAUACUCAGUUUGCUACUAUAACAUGGGCAGGAGACUGUAGCCGUUCCAUUGGGAACUUCCAGCCAAGUUCUCACAGCACUGAGCUGGCUUUGCCUAUCAUGUGGCAUGCACAGCACAUCUGGGAAGAUUGCUUGCCAAAUGACAAGUGGUAGUGAAUGUCAUCAGAGUAAAACUGAUGUCAUUGGUAACAGUAACAUGUUUGGCAGGCUCUUUGCUCUUAUUGUAUAAUUCAGUCAGUUUUAUUUUCAGCAUAUUACUUAAAACACUGGAUGUGCUCGGCUGCAUUCCAAGAUGCCAUGGGCUUAAGCUGGCUAUGUUUGUAUAUAAAAUGUUUGCCUCUGGGUCUGCAUGGUUAAUCCAUUGGGAUAGAAGUGUUAAAAGACAAGAUAAAAUCAACAAAGUACUUUCUGGCCCACUUUUUUUCCUCCCCCAAGUGAAGGCAUGGAGUUUUUGCCUAUAAGCAUGGUAAUAGAACACUCAAUCUAGGAAUGAUAGAUGACUUCUAAUCCUGCAGUUUUCUUGCAUUUUUAGAACUAGUCUAGAUAAUCCAUAUUGGCCUCCAUUUGUGUGAUGUGUAAAAAUGCAUUUGAUGCUUGAAGCUAAUAAAUCUUUAGCAGCCACUUAAACAUGUCCCCUCCCAGUUAAGGGACCAGAGAGAAUCGCUGCCCUGAUUUGCACUUUGAUGGCAGUGGGAGCCCCUCCCCCUCACAGACACCUCACAGAAUGUGUGAGCCAGACACACUUAUGGCAUGCGAUCUGCAGAGAUCUCACACCUGCUGUCCUCACCAACCAGGCAGAUAUGCUGCAUGACUAGGGUCUCCAUCUGAAAAGAUGUCAUUGUGGAGGAUCACUUGACUUGCAUAUUCUUCAAGGGGAAUGCAAGUGGGUGAGCUUCACAUGCACAAUACAAUAUGAAGUUCACUUGAGGUAUUGUUCAGUAAUAGUGCUAUGCCUCUUUGUAUACUUUAAACACUUGUUAAAUGAGGUAACUUGCCUAAUUAGGUAAUUUACAGGUCAAUUCAAGGAACAGGUGAGGAUAAAAUCUUGGACAAGGGUUGGGACAAGGGCCUGGUGACUUGAAAGCUACCAAUAUCAUGUGAUAAAACAGACAAGGGAGGUCACUUGUGGGGAUGAUAACUUGAGGGAAGUGUGAGGAAGUGAACAGGCACUUUGGUGUCUGAGGCACAAAAUCCAAAUAGCACCCUUGCCACAGGGCACUGUCUAUGGGGAAAUUCUGCUCAUGCUGCUUGAAGAUGAAUGGGCAUUGCGAAAGCAAGCCCUGUCCUUUUGUAUAGCUCCUGUUCAUUCAGUGGAGUGCACCAAGAGAAUUGCUCAGUUUAAAUGCUAAGGAUCAUUGUGAUGGGAAUCAGUGUGGUCAGACAAGGAUGUUGAGGUGAAAGAGCCUGGAUAAAAUGUUGGGAGUUUUGAAAGUGUUGGGGAGGAAUAAACAAGAAUAUUUGAACACAACCUAGAUGAUAUAUUUGGCAUCCAGAAUCUGGAACAUUCUACAAAGGCCAGUACACCUGGUCCCAUCACUCUUCACUUUCAGAUGAGCAGUGGCUUUAUUUCAAUGAAACGUUUUGGGAGAUAAAGAUUUUACUCCUACUGAAGCUGCUGCUGUGAGCUGGCUUACAUUAUUUUAUUGUUCUUGAUUGUUUGUAAGCUGCCUCAAUUAUAGUUUAUAUGGAAAAAUGGGAUAGAAAUAUCUGGGACUUUCUACAGUCAAUCAUAGUUAGGAAAUGAGCUGCUGCUUGAUGGUGAUUGUGUUUUUCUAAAGCACCUUUUCAGUUACCUGCCUGAGUGAAUGAUGUAGAUGCAUCCACUGUUCACUAGGCAGCAGGCUGAUGGGAGAAAGAGCACAUGUGUCUAGUUAAGCUCCGCUGCCGCCUACCACAUGUCUCCAAUUUAAUGCUACUUUCUAUGAGAAUGUGUACAAGGGCGGGGGAGGGGAGAGAAAAAACCCAACCAGCAAGGCAAGAGGAGUUGGCUGCUAACUGCAGAUUGAUAGUGAAGUUUAUGAGUUGUUUCCUCGAUGGUGCCAAAUCAGCACCUGAUGUACAAAGUUGCGAGUGAUCUGAAGAAAGUUCUAAUUAAGCCCAGGGUGGUAUUGGGGAUUUAUAGGGGUACAAGCACAGAAGCUUUCUCCCACCCCCACCUUGUAUAACACGUACAAGGGAACAAGCCUGCUGCCAAGGCAAUAUUUGUGUGGCAUCAUAAAAUAUAUUUUACAACAUAAUCCCUCUUGAGUAGGAAUGAGAAAAUGAAGUUGUUUCCAACCUCAUAGUUGCGAAGCUGCAAAUAAUGUGGAACUCAUGUGGAGAUGAUCAAAACAUUUUAUAUUGUGGUGGUCUGCAUCCUAGGAUGGUAACUGUCACAGGAAUGCCUCCUCUUCAGUUGCCGGUUUGGCAUGCUGCUUGUGGGGCUAGACUAAGGGUGAUCAUAUGGGACACACUGAUGCAGGCUACUUAUGUCCAGUGAUAAAUGGUAGAUUCUUUCUGGAGGACACUUUGCCAUCAGUCAGGCAGUAUGGGCUGAACAAAAUGCUCUGGCAUUAAUGUGAACCAGAAUUUGUUUCUGUUCUGGAGAAAGCAUUUGCCCCACAAAACUGAAGCAGCACGAAUUUGGAACUCCCUGUUUAUACUGAGUGGGCUUUGUGGAAGAUGUCCACCACUUAAAAAGGACAAAAAUAUUCUACAUAUAAGAUUUAUAUUUAACGCCAAAGCAGCUCUUGCCAAAGACAGACAAGAAACAGCCAGCAAGAUGCUUGCUUUGGCGUUGGGCCUGGCCAACUAUGCCUCUGGAGCUCCAGGAUGAGCUCUGCACUGCAUUAUACUAAUAGAGAAUGUCGCUUCUUGACACCUUACAUGUCCUUCACCAUUAUGAAGGACUCUAGUUAGCAGACCACCCAGAACCAUUGCAUAAUGGCCCAUAAGCUUGUAGGAAUGCCCACUGGAUUUAAUGGGAGAGGGGGGUGAUGCUGUUGCCCUGCCCAAAGACCAAGUCCCCGCUUGAAGAAUUGAGACAUUUGUAGCAUUUGCCCCCAUCCUUCCUUAUUUUACAUGAUGCUUUUUACAGUGAAGAGUUCUACAAAACUGUUCAUUGCACUUUGCUGGAAGCAACGAUGAAGGUACAUAACUGAAAAUAUUGCAAGAAGUAAUGAAAAUAUAAUAGCACUUAGGUGACUUCUCUCUCUCUUCCCCUCCUCCAAGUCAUAAGGCUGUUGCACUCUGUUUUAAAGUUGGAGAAUGGUACCUAAAUCUGAAGAGAACUUAUCUGAAUGGAUAAUUCCCCAAAUCAAGCAUAUGAAAUAUGGAGGUACUUUAUAUGAGAAUAGAAGGUGAUGGGGUCUGCUGUUACUGCAAACAUUAAGCUGUUUCCCAAAACAGUGCCAUAGCCUUUAUUGCCUUAUUGAAUUCAGCAAGUGGCCACAGUAAGAAAUUCUCAUGCUGUUUUUAGAACAGGUGUUUUUUUAAAAAGAAAUCUGUUCUGCUCUUAGGCAGAAAAGUGAAAGGAUGGAGAGUGCAGGUGCAUUGCAAUGAGUGUUUGGGCUUAAAUUCGAUCCAGAGGUCUGUGGGACAUGAUCUCAAAAGUAAUGAUCUGACCACAUGAGGAAGAAUAAAAUGCCUUUCCAUCAUGAUCCAAUGAUCAAAGAUAAGAUGUUCCAGUAACACAAACACUGUAACAAAUACAUGGCUGAAAUAAAUGUUAUUGUGUUAAGCAGUUGUGAAAUAACCUAGGGACAGGGUUUUGACAACUGCGCUAAUAAUUCCUGAAUAUAAACAUAUUUCGGCAACAACUGAAAUGUAUCUAAGCAGUUCUGACAAGCAGGUACUGUGACAUCUCUGUUUUGGAUUCUGCUUCAACAAUCAUAUUAAGCUUGUAUUAUUUUAUCUGCAAAUUGCUUUGCAAAAAAAAAAGUCCACAUUAGCUUUAAAUGCCAUAAUAUUCAAACAUGGGAAACAUAGUCUCUGUACCAGCUGGAACAGCUCUUCUGGGCAUAACUGUGUUGGUGAUUGUUAUGCCGCAUUAUAGCCCUUCUGAUUGGCUCUGUGGCAUAUUUGGUCAGAUUUAAACUUGCAUUGUCGCUCCUCCUGCUGCUUUGCUUCUCUGUAAGCAAUGUAACUGACCGAAUCUACAAUUAUGGGUGGCUUCGGAGUGGGGUAGAGAAGCACUUAGGAGCAAUUGUACCAACAGCCUCUGUGUUAUAUUAGACCUUUUCCCAGAAACUGACUACAUCAUUACCUUGAAAACUUGUGAAUUAAGUGAGCAAUUCUGAGUUCCGGAAACGAGUCAGAUCCAUAGAUCAGUAGUCCGAGAGUCAUGCCCUGACAAAGCAGUCAAAGGUAACAUUCUAGUCCCAUCACAAUACAGGUUAGCAGAUUCCAGGCUUGUAUGGAAUUUAAAAAUCCACUGUAUAUCCUGCCACAUCUGUGGGGCUGCCAAUACAAUACAUGGUGAGAUCUGUGGUUCCCUCAGGAGCCUUGAAAUGUUGAGCCAGUCUUGACACCCUUGAUAUAGAUGUCGGCAUUUUCUAGGACACCAGGUCCUGGAGUCACAGACACCAGCUCUGAGACAGGUUGAUCCAGAUUGUUUUAAGAAGCUGAAUGUUCAAUACAGCUGCAAGAUUUCUAGACUAUCCCAUGAAAUAUGCAUAUUCAAAACUUGCAAUAAUUUUGACCAAAAGGAUGAAAGCUUUACAAGUUAUGGCUAAUUACACUUUCCUGUCCCCUUACUGGGCUGAAUGAUUCACCACAUAUUCCUUCACAACUCUUCAGAGCAGCAUAAGCCCUCGUGCAAAAUCCAGCCAGGGCUUGUUGAAGUGUACCACAUUGCCAGCCUUGCCCUGUGUCAAAUAAUAGGUGGCUGCUGUUCCAUUAGCCACUACCCUGGCAUUUAAAAGCACCACAUAAAAGAAUAGAUGUGUUGUGCUUCUCCAUGUCUGUAGACUGGCUGCAAGGCAAGGGUUUGUCAUCCAUACCUUUUUGGGUAGCUGAGUCUAGGGCUGGGGCACUGCUUGAGGUCUUGACCUCAGUCAUCUAAGCUCCUUUUCCUUCAUGGCUGUUCAUUACAUUAAUCACUGAGUCCUAAAUAAUUGGCGGGUAGCCUGUAAUUAUGGGCUGUGUUUUGGAUUUCUGCAGCCUGUUCCUUGUGUGCUGAACGCUGCAGAUUUUAGUCUCCCACCCUUCCCAUUCCCCCACUCCUCCACACUAUGUUUGAUUUCACUCAGAUGCAUUUUUCUGGGGCUAAAGAGAAUAGAAGACCACAAUUCCUUGGCUCUCUCGCUACCUUUAGGUGGUGGAGGCUUUGCUUUUCUCUCUCUCUUUAAGUAUAGAGUUAACUUCCCUCAACGCACUUGAUUUAUAGACAGAUAGCAAGCUUUGAAAGUCAGCAGUCCUGGCACUGUGUAAAUCAGCCUUCCUUAUUUAUAGUUUCAACAGGAAAAGGAAUUAUUUCCCAAUUCUUUACAUUUCUUUCCGAAGUAAUCGACCACCCUGUCCUUUGGUUUAAAGCUGUGUAGCUUUACCACAAAAUGGGGGGGGGGGGAGAGAGAGAGAGAGAGAAUGAGGCCUGGGAUUGCUCUGCUAUAAAAACUCCAGAUUGUAUGUUCUUGGACAUUGCCUUUAAAACAGCUUCCUUCAAGCCCACACAAGAGAUGGCCUGUGUCUUUGCCUCCCUCCCUCCCCCUUCUUUCAAACAAUCUCUGACCUCUUAGAAAAAUAAAUAAAAGAUAAAGCAAGGCCUGGAAUGCUGCAGAAUGAGUAUACAUUUUACUCUCUGUUGUUUUCUGCUGGGAUUAGUUGUUUACAAUGGAGGCAGGGGGGAGGGGAGGGGGUGGGUUGCGGCUUUACUGAAAUUAGAAGCAUUUCAGAGUCAUCUUGUUAGGUGGUCUCUGCUUUAAAGACUUAAAUCCUUGUAAUCUAUCCCCCCCCAAACUUCUUGGUCAUCACUCCUCUUCUCCAUGCCCCCCCCAUUUCUCUCAAAAGUCAGACUCCCAACCCCUUUUUCUCUCUAUCACACCUGGUCAACACAUUAACAUAUUUUAGCAUCAGAUGGCUGUGUAUGCAUUAGUAUCACAAAAUUGGGCUAAAUCCCUUCCUCUCCAGAGAAGACCAGUUCAGCUACUUGGAUUUGCUUGAAGCCGAUCAAAACUCCUAGCUGUAAUUUCAGUUCUAAGUCAAACGGUUUGUGAUGCAUCACAGUUUUGUUGUGGUGGUUAGCUUUUUCAUUAUUAAAAAAAUUAAAAACUCUUUAAAAAGCCUUUUAAACAAAACAAAACACAAAUUAUGCUACUGAACUUAAAAACCUGUAUAAACAUUCAUAUUGAUAUGUAUACAUAGCCUUCCAAAUUUAAUGAAUAGAUGCCAUGUUUUCACAAAGGUUUCCAUUUGUUGGCUUCCUUAUCCCAAGUUUCACAAUCUCAGUAAGUUUAGACAUUUGUACAAUGUGCCAUGCUUUGGAGAACCAUUUUUAAAUUGCAGAUUUUUUGGUCUGUGCCUAUUUUUAGCAACUAAUCAAUUGGCCACCUCCAAUUGUGGUGCCCUUUUGCUCAUGAAAGGGCUUUUGAUCUCGUGUAGAAUCCUAGAAUUGUAGAGUUGGGAGAGACCACAAGGGUCAUUCUAGUCCAGUCCUCUGCAAUGCAUGAAUCUUUUGCCCAACGUGGGGCAUGAACCCACCACCGAGACCCUGAGAUUAAGAGUCUCAUGCUAUGUCAUAGGAGCGAUCAAGUGGUGUCCGCUAACAGCACAGGGAGGUGGUUUUUGCCAGUUUCCCCUUCUCCCUAUAGCCCCUUCUGCCACUCUUCACCCUGUCCUGGAGGGUCCCCCAACUCCUUGGAGCUAGUUUUCAGUGGGAGCUGCAGAGUGCUUGUGAGAGGCAAAAAUGCCUCCCUUGCUCUUCCACUAGCAUGAGCACAAGAGCACCAGUUGAAUUCCACCCACCAUUAACAGAGGAGAGGUGAGCAUGUCAUGUUUAUCUCUCACCAUUUCAUCCAAUAAAGCAAGAAGUACGUUGUAAUGUCGGAAAACAUUUCCAUGCCACAUUAUCACACAAUAGAUCACAUCUCCAGCAUUUAUGAAUGACAUAAUCAUAGUUUUCAGUUUGUUGGGGCUCAAAUACUAUUAUUAUUUUAUAAUGUUUCCCUCAUAUUAAUAUUAACUGGCAAAGCAAAACAUUUAGUACAGAUUUUAUCCCAGUCAGGCACUGAAACAAUUUUGUUCUCCAUUUAAAGAUUUGUUUCAUACUAGUAAUUAACAGAUAGCAAAUUGACAGUGAAUUCUAAAUAACAUUUUUGGAAUCGUUCCAAUUAACAACUAGUAUUUCAAAAUCAGUGAAUGCUGUUUUCAUAUUUCCCCCAUUUCUCCAUUCUGUAUUUCAAUAAUGAGAUCUUGUUACUGUCUGGUUUUCUGUAUACUUAAAAACACACAAUUUCGUAAAAUAUACCACGGGUUCCCAAAGUGGUCUGCGGACAAGCUUCCUUCAGGUGGUCUGCACUGUGUCUGUGAAGAACUCACUUGCCUUUUAAAUUCCAUAGAAUUCUGUGGAAUUCAAAUUGUAAUAGGAUACAAUACAAUAUAAGAAAUAAAAAAGCAAUAAAGAUACAAAUAAAAACCAUACAGCACCUAUCACGGCAUAUUGUGAUUGCUACAAGAGGCAGAAAAAUAAUGAAUUGGUCCACCAAGAUCCUCAGCAAUUUUUAAGUGGUCCGUGGGGAAAACCACUUGGGAGCCACUGAAUAUACCAUUA